CAACAGUUGCACCGUUCCAUUUCAUUGUUUAUAAAAUUAAAACCCGAUGGCACUUUCCCCCCAUAAUUUUCCAUUAAUCAUCUUCUUCUCAUAGCUUUUCCCCAAAUUUAUUUUAGAUUUUCAACGCCAUUACUAUUCCCUCCAUCUAUUUUGCGGCUAAAUCCUUAGCGAAUCUAUCUCUGCCGAAGUCGAAUUGUAAGUUCAGUUCUAUUUACAUAGCAGAAAACUUUCAUACAUUUACAAACUUGGUUUCUCUUAUUAGCGUUUAAUUGAGUUUGGAUAUUACGCCCUUAUUUUUCUAUGUUCCUUUGUUGCCUUUGAUUUUCUGAUGUUAUUUAUAGAAUUUGUAAAUGUAACUUAUAGAUUAUACUCUAUAAUCUUAAUUGGACGUGAUCAAUGCCAUGGUUUAAUGUUAUUUUGAUGUUUAAGUGUUAUUCUAAUCACUUCUUCAACAAAUAAGAAACACCUAAAGAGAGAAGUAUGGAACAACUACUAAGAAAGAAAAAACGAAAAGACAGACAGUAGUGUGUGGUUGCGCCAUUUUAUUGGGUGAAGGAUCUUACCCGUCGGAAUACCAAAUUUGGCUGGCUUAUUAGAGGGCAACCUUUAUUGCUCACUGUUGGUCUCAUCAAGGCAGUAUCUUUGGUCUUUUGUAGCCAAAAUUUCGAAAGAAACUUUUGGCAAGUGAUAAUUAUAUUAUUUUUUCUUUUAUGGUUGAAUGUCUCUUAAUCCUUACAUAUUUGGUAAGAGAUCUAUUACGAAUAUCUCUUAAUCCUUAUUCGUAAUAGAUCUCUUACUUUUUGUUCUUUGGGUUAUAACUUUUCAAGAGAAUUCGAACAUGAUGUUAACUUCGUAUCACCAUCACUUGGAACCAUCACAUAUAGUAAUUGGAUCCUUCACCAAGAUUAUAUGCUUCUAAUAGAAAGAUAUUGGUACAUGUAUCUAUUAUACUUUUUUGUGAGUCAAUUAAUUAUUUUCUUUGAAAAUAGGUUUUCCAAAAUAGUUUCAGUAUUAUAAUUUGGCAGAAUGGCCUAAAUGACACCUAUAUUUGUCCCACUUUGUCAUGCCGGUCCCCAAACUUAACAAUUUGUUAUCCAGAUACUUUAACUUGAUCAAAGCCUAUUAUUUAAAUCCCUCUGACCGUUGACCAAGCACAUGUGGCAAAAUAAUGGUUGAGCUGAACAAAGUGAGUGUAAAUCACGCUGAGGGUGAAUAUGAACAUUUUGAACCAAAAAUUAUUAAAAUAAGAAGAAAUAAGAAUUAAUAAUAAUUGUAGCAAAAAUCUGAGGCUGUGGUGAUAAUUUUUUCUCCUGUCUCCGAGCAACCGAUGUUUGCAGCCAUGGCAGUGUCUCCAAUCUCUUGCCUUGUCUUUAAUAUUAUAGAUCCAAGUCGCCCCACCAUUUUUAAAGAGCUCACCAACCUGUUUUCUAACCAGUAUUUUCUCUACUUUAUUUUAUUUUUUAAAAUAUGCAAAUUUUGGCUUACACAUAGUGUGUGGAUGCUGACCAAUUUCCAAAUGUGCCUCUCUGGGCACCUACAGGCUCUUUUCCUCCAUUUUCAAAAGAAUAAGGAGUCGCGGAUUUGCAGUUGUGUUCUUUCCCUACUACCUUAUUUGGUAUUUAGUGAAAAAAGGAUUAUGCUGGGGCACAUAAAUCUACCAACGUGACAAAAAGACAAAAAUUAAAUUAUAUAAUUACUGCCCUCUCUGUUCCGCCAUUGAUUUCUUAGAUUUGAGCUCCUCUCCAUUCUGCCAUUAAUUUUCCUCGAUCUGAGCCCCUCUCUGUUCCGUCAUUGAUUUUCCUUCAUUUUCAAAAAAAAAAAACCUAGCAGCCCAGCAAAAGCAGAAGCAGACAGGAUUUAAGUGGGCUUUGGACAUAAAAAUCCUGGCAAAGAUGACGGAGAAGAGAGGAGAGACAGAAGUGGUUCAUACUUUCUAAGCCCUAACUAAGCAGAUAAGUGUAAAAUGAGGGGAAAUUUUGAGUUUGAGGGGAUAAUAAUCAUUUCUUGUUUUAUUUUCCUAUGUGGCCAUAAUGACUUGGAGCCUACGUGGUUUAAUUUUCUUGACGUGACGUCCUACGUGUAGGAGAUUGUAUUACAUGCACUGACGGCUUCGUGUCAUAAGCGUUUAUUAUACAUGGUCUGAAGGAAUGUAAGUAUUUAAUUGGCAAAUUGUUAAGUUUGAGGACCGGCAUGACAAAGUGGGACAAAUAUAGGUGCCAUUUAGGCCAUUCUACCUUAUAGUUUAAUAUAUUUUAAUGUAGUUUUAAGAAUGUUAUUAUUUUGAAAUUAAAAAAAUGAUAUUUAUACUCAACCCACAAAUUAUGUAUUUGAAACCUUGUAUUUCGUUUGUUGUGUUAAUUUUUUGUAUAGAGAGAUUAACAAUAUCUAAACAUAUACAAACUUUCCAUAUGCAAAUAUGACCUGACCAAAGCAAAAAAGUUCAACAGUAAAACAAUCUCUUAUAGAGCAAAUGAUUUCACGUGUAAGUUCAGUUGAAACUUUAAUGAAGUACCGAAAAGAUGUAGUAAAAUCUUUAUAAUAUAAAUAGCUUUAGAAUAUGAGCAUUCGAUGAAAAAUGUUGUCAUAUGUCUUACAACUUUGCCAUUAUCUACUUCUUCCUCUUACAGACAAGAUUCGAUAUAUAUUUGAGAAAGUUGAUGUCACGGCCCAAAAUUUCUCCAAAGGAGUCGUGAUGAUACCUAGUCUCUAAACUUAGGUAAGCCUAACAUUUUCUGUAAUAAUAUGGAUAUUUACUAGCUUUAAAUUAAAUUACUCUGAACAAAUUACAAUUUCCAAAACCGGUGAUACAAGUCAUAAACUUUUCUAAGAGAAGUUAUACAAAAUAAAUACAUCACUGUUCUGAAACAAAAGGAACAUAUGAAAAUAAAUACAAUUGAAGAUGGCUCCGAGACCUGCGAACGCUUCAUCAGGUUUACCUUGAGUCUCCAUCGCAACGACCCGCACAACUACUAUCGAUCAAAUACCUGGAUCUGUACAAAAAAAUGUACAAAAGUGUAGUAUGAGCACACCACAACGGUGCCCAGUAAGUAUCAAGACUAACCUCGGUGGAGUAGUGACGAGGAACAGUCUGGACACCUACUGGUCAAAUAAAUAGAACAAGACAUGAUAAUAAACUAUCAACAUAAAAAUAACAAAGUAAUAUCAAUAACAUGGAGAGAACAAACAACAAUCAGUAGAAACGAUAAAAGGACACACGGAUGGAAACGAAAGACAACCAAAAAAAUUAACACCAACACAGAUGGAACACCGACAAGUAAAUAGGUACUCAAUAAGGAAGGCAAUGUCAGCUCAAUAAAUCAUAUCAUUUCUGAUGCACAAAUUCCAGCCAUCUCAAACUCGAUGUCUCAUAUCAUAACCUCAAUUACCAAACCUUUGGCACACCCAGCACCUUGUGCCCACAUAUUUCUGUCUCACUUUGCGCAACAACGUUCUCAUAUUACUCAGUACAUAGGGUCCAUAACUAUACAAUUUUGAAUAUUCAAGGAGUUUCAUUUACAUAACAUGAAGUAGAGUACCGCUUCUAAACCAAUUAGGAACUCAACAAGAAAAGAUGAAGUUAUUUUUAGAAAUUAUUCGGAUAAAGAAAGUACUAUUUUCAAUUAAAAUGCAACAUCGAAUGAAUUAUUAUCUUUACCAUGGGAUUUAAUAAUUUAUAACUUAGUAGAAAUUCCUUUUUUUUUUGUAAGUAGAGUACAUCCUCAGACGAGUUAAGAAAAUUUAAUUGAGAAACUAAUUGAAUAAAAAAAUAUAAGAAAUGAUUGAACUUUGAGGUAUUAAAAUAUAUAUAUAUAAAUACGGCGAAGUAUUGACAACAUUAUGGGUUCCAACACAAAGGAUCACAACAGUAAGGAAAUUCUAAACCGUUAAAACACUUGAAUUGGUAACAACAAAUAAACACAACAAAUAGAAAGUGCACGGAAUUACCCUUCGUGCUUUUACUCUCGUUCUCACCAUAGAAAUCAACAGAAAUGACACGACAUCACCCUUCGUGCUUUUACUCUCAAUAAUCUGGCACGACGUCACCCUUCGUGCUUUUAUUCUCAAUAAUCUGGCACGACAUGACCCUUCGUGCUUUAACUCUCAAUAAUGUGGCACGACAUUUGUGAUGACCCAAAAGGUCAUCACUUAUUUUGGAAAUAAAUUCUGUGUUCCGAGGCCUUAAAACCCUUUUUUGUCUCACCCCGAUUUGCGUGUGCAAUCUGGGCGUGUAUCCGGAAAGCCAUUAUGUGAAAAUCUGUAAAAAAUGAUAAAUUUUGCUUUUAAAAUAAAUUUAAGUUGACUUUGGCUAACAUUUUGGAUAAACGGACCCGGACACAUGAUUCGACGGUCCCGGAGGAUCCGUAGAAAAAUAUGGGACUUGGGCGUAUGCCCGAAAUUGAAUUCCGAGGUCCCAAGCCCGAGAAAUGAAUUUUUGAAAGAAAUUGUUUAACUGAAUUAUAAGAGUUUUUAGAAAUUGAAAUGUGUUUGAAUUUGAUGGUAUCGGGCCCGUAUUUUGAUUCCGGAGCCCGAUACAUGUCUUAUAUAGCAUUUAAGUUGAGCCUGUAAAAUUUGGUAAGAAAUGGACUUGAUAUGACGUGAAUCGGACCAUCGGUUGUUAAAAAUGGAACUUAAGAGUUCAUGAGAUUUUUCUUAUAUUUUGAUGCUAAACUCAUAGUUAUUGAUGUUAUUUUGAUGAUUUGAUCGCACGAGCAAGUCCGUAUGAUAUUUUUGGACUUGCGUGCAUGUUUGGUUUGGAGCCCCGAGGGUUCGGGUGAGUUUUGGAUAGGCCACAAAGUGUUUUGAACUUAGGAAAAACUGUUGUGUGUUGCAGGUCUGCAGGCUUCACAAUUGCGAGCUCGCAUUGGGAACAAACAUUCUCAUUUGCGAAGACUGGGCUUGGCAGGCCUUGGUCGCAAUUGCGACCUCUCCUCGCAAUUGCGAUGUCGCAAAUGCGACAGGUCCCUCGCAAUUGCGAAGGUGACCGAAAUUGCCCAUGGUCGCAAAUGUGACGUAUCCUUCGCAUUUCCAAAGUCAGUAGGUUCCUUAAUGGUUCGCAAUUGCGAACCCUGGCGACAUCUACAACCUGCUAAAUCAUAACUUAGCCGAAAAUCUCUCAUUUUUCAAACUCUCUCAAACCUAAAACAUCUUUGGGCGAUUUUUUAAAGGCAACUACUUUUCCAAAUCAUUAGUAAGUAACUCAUUUAUUUCAAUCUAAUCCAUCCUUUUACAUGAUUUCAACUCAAAAUCAAGGGUUUUCAUGGGGAAAAAUGGGUGUUUUGGGUAGAACCUAGGAUUUUUAAAUUUUGGGAAUUUGGACCUCGAUUUGAGGUGCGAUUUCAAAACAAAUUACUAUAUAUUUGGGUUCGUGGGUAAAUGUGUAAUCGGAUUUUGGUUUGAACCUCAAUUUUUGACCAUGUGGGCCCGGGGUCGAUUUUUGACUUUUUGGGGAAAUCAUUGGAAAACCUAUUGUGAUGACCCAAAAGGUCAUCACUUGUUUUAAAAACAAAUUAUGUGUUCCGAGGCCUUAAAAAAACUCUUUCUGCAUCACCUCGAUUUGCGUGCGCAGUCCAGGUGCGUAGCCGGAAAGCCAAUAUGUGAAAAAUAUGUGAAAAUAAUGAAUUUUGCCUAUAAAAUGAAUUUAAGUUGACUUUGGUUAAUAUUUUGGGCAAACGGAAAAAUAUGGGAUUUGGGCGUAUGUCCGGAAUCGAAUUCCGAGGUCCCAAGCCCGAGAAAUGAAUUUUUAUAAAAAAUUAUUUUCUAGAAUAUUAUGAGUUUUUAGAAAUGAAAUGUGUUUAAAACUUGAUGGUAUCGGGCCCGUAUUUUGGUUCCUGAGCCCAGUAAAGGUCUUAUAUGUGAUUUAAGAUGAGUCUGUGAAAUUUAGUAAGAAAUGAGCUUGAAAUGAUAUGAAUCGGACCUUAUUUGAGAAAAAUUGAAAAAUUUGAAAUUCUUUAGAAAUUUCAUGAUUUGAUGCAAAAUUCAUAGUUGUUGAUGUUAUUUUGAUGAUUUGAAUGCACGAGCAAAUUCGUAUGAUGUUUUUAGGUUGGUGUGCAUGUUUGGUUUGGAGUCCCGAGGGCUCGAGUGAGUUUUGGAUAGGCCACGGGGUGGAAUUUGGACUUGGAAAAAAUUGCAGGUUUCAGCUGUUCUAUUGCAGGCUUGCAGGCUUCGUAUUUGCGAAGCCUGGCUCGCAAGUGCGAGUACGCAAAUGCGAGGGCUGAGUCGCAAAUGCGAAAUAGCCCAGGCCAGCACUACCUCGCAAAUGCGAGGUGCCCAUCGCAAAUGCGAUGCCCCCAGUUACUGCCUUAGUCACAAAUGCGACUGCUGUAUCGUAAAUGCAACUUUGCAUUUGCGAGAGGUCUAUCGCAAAUGCGAAAAAGACCAAAAAAUGUGCUUGGUCGCAAAUGCGACAUUUUGUUCGCAAAUGCGAAGCUCUCAAACUUUUGAAGGGUUCGCAAUUGCGAUAUCUGAUACCUGUAAAUUCACACUUAGACGCAUUUUCAACCAUUUUUCAUAUCUUCUCAAAACAUAAACUCUCUAGGGCGAUUUUUCAAAGGCAAUUUCUUCUCUAAAUCGAUUGGAAGUGAUUUCUAACUAGUUUUCUUCAUUCCUUAACAUCUUUUCACAUGAUUUCAACUCAAAAUCAAUGAUUUUCAUGGGGAAAAUUGGGUGUUUUGGGUGGAACUUAGGUUUUUCAAAUUUGGGGAUUUGGACCUUGAUUUGAGGUCUGAUUUCAAAACAAAUUAUAUAUUUGGGUUCGUGGGGGAAUAGGUAAUCGGGUUUUGGUUCGAACCUCGGGUUUUAACCAUGUGGGCUCGGGGGUGAUUUUUGACUUUUGGGUAAAACUUUGGAAAACUUAUUUUCAUGCAUUAGAAUUGAUUCAUUUAGCAUUUAUUGACGUAAUUAAGUAACUUGUGGCUAGAUACGAGCGAGUUGGUGGUGGAAUCNNNNNNNNNNNNNNNNNNNNNNNAGCAUGCCCGUGAGUCUUAUAUUAUGAUUAUCAUGACUUCAUUGUAUUAUUCAUGCCUUGGUGAUGAUUUCUAUUGUUGGGCAAAGUUUGUGAAAAUAAUAGUGAUAAUUGAACAUUGAGGAGCGUUGGCUCAAGUUGUAUAAUGAAAGGUAAAAGCAUAAGUGGUAAUCGAAUCCUUUUAGAGCAUUGGCUCAAGUUGUGAAGUAAAAGUGAAAAAAAGAAGAGAAUCAUUAUAUUGCCUCCCUUGCCGGGAUAUUGUUGCUUUUAAUGCUAGCUCCCUUGCCGGGAUGUUGAUGUUUUGGAUGUUGUUCCCUUGCCGGGACUUGAUUGUUGAACUAUUGUUCCCUUGCCAGGAUUCUUAUUGUAAUUUCAUUCAUUUCCUUUCCCUAUUAUUUGUGAUUAUUGUUUGGGUGAGGAAAAGCGUUAAAGCACGAAGGGUGAUGCCGUGUAUUAUUUUGGUGAGGGAGUGAUAAAGCACGAAGGGUGAUGCCGUGUAUGAUUUGUGAGGAAGAGUGUAAAGCACGAAGGGUGAUGCCGUGCCGCACGAUGUACAAUUCCGUGUCCAUUAUCUUGAUUAUAUGGUGAGGACGAGAGUAAAAACACGAAGGGUGUUGCCGUGCAAUUUAUGUUGAUUCUUUGGCGAGGACGAGAGUAAAAACACGAAGGGUGAUGCCGUGCACUAAUUGAUUCCUGAUUCUUGUUGAUGACUGAGAUAUGGUGUACCUCUUAUUUACUCGCUGUCUUUCUAUUCUUAAUUGAUGUUUCCCCGCUGCAUAUUUCCCCUUCCCAUACUUGACUGUACAUUACUGCUUCUUCUUUUUCACUCUAUAUGGUAUAUCUGCACAGAUUUAUUUGGUAGUCUGGUCCUAGCCUCACUAAUUCGCCGAGGUUAGGCUAGGCACUUACCAGCACAUGGGGUCGGUUGUGCUGAUACUACACUCUGCACUGUGUGCAGAUCCCGGAGCAGCAGCUUUUGGAUCUUAGCUUGGGUGGCUGCCUUCAAUCCAUACGGAGAUCCAAGAUAGUCCUGCAAGCGUCCACAGGCCCUGACGUCUCCCUCUAUCCCUUUAUCCUGUUUCAUUUACGUAUUUCCAAGAUAGUGUAUUAUUUAUCUUUCAGACUUUGUUUGUAGUGCUCUUAGACCGUCUGUGAAGAUGUGACUCCAGUUUUGGGUGGUCUUGUUUAAACAGUUGUAUUGGAUAUGCUCGGUAGUUUUACUGUUUUUCUUCUGAUGGUUAUAGAUUCCGCUGUCUUUAAGUUAUUGCUCAUAAUUUCUUUUAAAGGAUUAAAAUGGGAAAAGGUAAAUUGUUCAAACGGUCGGCUUGCCCAGCUCACAAUUCACAGACAA
rnacentral:lncRNA from 1 species